AGGAGAGUUUGAUCCUGGCUCAGGAUGAACGCUAGCUACAGGCUUAACACAUGCAAGUCGAGGGGCAGCAUGUCGUGUGCUUGCACACGAUGAUGGCGACCGGCGCACGGGUGAGUAACGCGUAUCCAACCUUCCCUGGGGUCCGGAAUAGCCCGGUGAAAACCGGAUUAAUGCCGGAUGUCGUGCGAUGAUGGCAUCAGAGUUGCACGAAAGGCUUGCCGCCUCGGGAUGGGGAUGCGUCUGAUUAGGCAGCAGGCGGGGUGACGGCCCACCUGGCCUUCGAUCAGUAGGGGUUCUGAGAGGAAGGUCCCCCACACUGGAACUGAGACACGGUCCAGACUCCUACGGGAGGCAGCAGUGAGGAAUAUUGGUCAAUGGACGGAAGUCUGAACCAGCCAAGUAGCGUGCAGGACGACGGCCCUACGGGUUGUAAACUGCUUUUAUGCGGGGAUAAACGAGGGGACGUGUCCCCUUUUGCAGGUACCGCAUGAAUAAGGACCGGCUAAUUCCGUGCCAGCAGCCGCGGUAAUACGGAAGGUCCGGGCGUUAUCCGGAUUUAUUGGGUUUAAAGGGAGCGCAGACGGCCCGUCAAGCGUGCAGUGAAAUGUAGCGGCUCAACCGCUGAGUUGCUGCGCGAACUGGCUGGCUUGAGUGUGCUGAAGGCAGGCGGAAUUCGUGGUGUAGCGGUGAAAUGCUUAGAUAUCACGAAGAACCCCGAUUGCGAAGGCAGCCUGCUGUGUCACUACUGACGUUGAGGCUCGAAGGUGCGGGUAUCGAACAGGAUUAGAUACCCUGGUAGUCCCCU
rnacentral:rRNA from 1 species